rnacentral:lncRNA from 1 species
UUUUUCUACUGCUCUUGGGUUUACGCGCACGUUGGAAUCGAAGAGAGCUCUGUUGUUGCAAUGUUCAGCCCACAAGAGCUUACAGGUGAAGGAAUGGGACAAGACCCAUCUUUAUGCAAAGCCAGCGUUACAGUAAUGUUCCAGGUAUUUCUGAUGACAGUCUGCCUCUAUCUUACAGAGCAGCUUGUUGCUAUAUACCAUUGAAAAGCCUUCAGAGCUAAGAGGUACUACUAACCAAUAACCUGCUUGGCUCAAAGGGCCAGCACCUUCUCUCUAAAGCCCAAGAGGAGUUUGAGGAAAACUAGGUGUCUCUGUUCACUCCAGGCUGAAGUUACAGGUGAGCACUGCAUAGAUGACCAGUUUGGUAAACUACUGACCUAGCUUGUUGCCAAUUGUGAUUGAGCUUCCCAUAACUCCACUUCGUUUCUGUUUCUCUGUAUACAGACACCUUCUAUUCCCAUCAUGAGCCUUUAGGUCUCCAUUUGCAUAUUGCAAAUACUAUGUUCCGUGUAGGUAGCUCAUUCAGUGCCUUGCUCUUCACUUCAAAAAAGGUUCCCUUGAGGACUGGCUGUCAAUUUGUGUUGCUGUGUUGGUUAAUGAAAAUAAUAAAAUGAUUGAUUACAUA